UACAGAGGUGGCAAGCGUUGUUCGGAAUUACUGGGCGUAAAGGGCGUGUAGGCGGCCCGCUAAGUCGAACGUGAAAUCCCCGAGCUCAACUCGGGAACUGCGUCCGAUACUGGUGGGCUUGAAUCCGGGAGAGGGAUGCGGAAUUCCAGGUGUAGCGGUGAAAUGCGUAGAUAUCUGGAGGAACACCGGUGGCGAAGGCGGCAUCCUGGACCGGCAUUGACGCUGAGGCGCGAAAGCUAGGGGAGCAAACGGG
rnacentral:rRNA from 1 species